UGCUCAUCUUAAAGACUGAUCCAUGCAAAUCUAAGUAUAUUGGAUUUAUAUUAUUGAAACGGUAGAGAGCUCAUUAAAACAGUAUCAUAGGAAGCAGAAUUCUACAUGAAGCUUCGGCUGAGUGUAAUUGGAUAUCGAAUCGAAUUGAUUCGUUAACACAUGUGAAACUAAACUCGAAAUAAGGCUGAGAGCUUUUGAGAGUGAAUUUAUUGAAAGUUUCGACGCUCUGCACUUGUGACUGAUCUAUCAACUUCGUUUGUGGUGCCUUUGACCAAAAAGGUUCUAACGGAUGACGAGGGAUUAGGGUUUGAUUUCGGAGAGGAGGCCUGAGACACUGCCUCCACUUCCAAGGAAGGCAGCAGGAGCGAAAAUUACUCAAUGACACAUCGUCGAAGUAGUGACAAGAAUUAACAGAAUUGGGUCCUUUUAGGAACAGUAUCUGUGAUGAGAACAAUUUAAAACCAUUAACAAGUAGCCAUGAGAGGGCAAGUCUGGUGCCAGCAGCCGCGGUAAUUCCAGCUCUUAGAGUGUAUAUGAAUGUUGUUGUAGUUAAAACGCUCAUAGCUUAUAAUAAUGGGUCGAUUGGUUCCUACCGACUACACAUGUGGAAGGUACUAUCAGUCGGGCUCACAGAAAGUCCAGUGAUUUGCUGUCGGGGGUGGAAACAUCUUACGGGCUCGGGCGUAGCGAUACGUUCGAUUCGCUGGAGAGGAUUAACUUUGAACAAAUAUGGAGCGGGUCAUUUAAUGAGAGAUAGAAAUUGAUGGAGCGAUCUUUAUUUACUGGGAAGGGGUGAAAUCCUAUGAUCCAGUGAAGAAACACUAAUGCGAAAGCACCUCGCUAAGAUGUUUUUAUUAGUCAAGAACGAAAGUUGAGGGCGCGAAGAUGAUUAGAUACCAUCGUAGUCUCAACCGUAAACAAUGUUGAUUUAGGAUGUGAAAUCAUUUUUUAUGACUUUUCACGAAUUAUACGAGAAAUCUAGAAUAUUCGAACUCUAGGGGUAGUAUAGUCGCAAGGCCGAAACUUAAAAGAA
rnacentral:rRNA from 1 species